rnacentral:rRNA from 1 species
UGCAGAGGUCUCGAGCGUUGUUCGGAUUCAUUGGGCGUAAAGGGCGCGUAGGCGGCGGGGUAAGUCUGGUGUGAAAUCUAGGAGCUCAACUCCUAAACUGCACUGGAUACUGCUCUGCUAGAGGACUGGAGAGGAGACUGGAAUUCACGGUGUAGCAGUGAAAUGCGUAGAUAUCGUGAGGAAGACCAGUGGCGAAGGCGGGUCUCUGGACAGUUCCUGACGCUGAGGCGCGAAGGCCAGGGGAGCAAACGGG